rnacentral:antisense_RNA from 1 species
CUUGAUCGACCCCAGGUACAGCGGCUCGGAACGGUUCUGGCCGUAGGUCGCCAGCAGCGCCUGGGCCUC